rnacentral:misc_RNA from 1 species
UUAUGGACAAAUGAAGUUUAUCAACAAUGAGAAGGUUAAAAUGCAGCUAGAAAACGAUGAGAGCCUAACAAUGGAAAAACUAGACGAGAUUGUGCAAUGGUUUUUAAGUGAUUUCAAGGAGGGAAAGUUGUUGGAAAAUGGCUGGGCUCUUGUAUCUGCCUACAAAAUAUCCAAAGCUGCCAUAAAUGCCUAUACUAGACUCUUAGCAAGAAAGUUCCCCAGAUUCCGAGUAAAUUGUGUCCAUCCAGGGUUGGUGAAAACAGACAUGACAGGAAACACUGGAAGCUUGACUCCUGAAGAAGGUGCAAGGGCACCGGUUAUGUUGGCUUUGCUCCCUGAUAGCGGUCCUUCAGGUCUCUACUUCUCUGAGAUGGAUGUAUCCAGCUUUUGAUGGAAGACAGUGGGGGUGAGGAGUUGCAAUUUUCAGACUUUAAAGCAUUAAAAUAAUAAUAGUAGUAAGA